GAAAAGAACUUUGAAAAGAGAGUUAAAUAGUACGUGAAAUUGUUGAAAGGGAAACGAUUGAAGUCAGUCGUACUGGCGAAAAAUCAACUACUCGAGUGAGUACUUGUGGGCGUACGUGAGCUUCACGGCCGCGUUGUUUGCAAUGUUCGUGCUCUUGUGGUGUACUUUUUCGUGUGGUAGGUCAAUGUCGGUUUUGAACGCCAUAAAAUGAUCGGAGGAAUGUAGCUUCGACCUCGGUUGAAGUGUUAUAGCCUCUGGCAGAUGUGGUGGUUGGGAUCGAGGAUUGCAACGAAUACCCUCUGGGCUAUCCGUCUGACCUCUGAAAGUCGCACGGGCGCCGAAAGCUUGCUUACGGUUAUCCAAGUUGACUGUCAAUAGAUUAGAACGUGAUUACAUUCGU
rnacentral:rRNA from 1 species